rnacentral:rRNA from 1 species
GAUGAACGCUAGCGGCAGGCCUAACACAUGCAAGUCGAGGGGUAACUAGAGUGAUAGCAAUAUUACUUUGGCUAGACCGGCGCACGGGUGCGUAACACGUAUGCAACCUACCUUAUACUGGGGAAUAACUUCGAGAAAUCGGCGCUAAUACCCCAUAACACUGCGGAGAGGCAUCUCUUUGCAGUUAAAGCUCCGGCGGUAUAAGAUGGGCAUGCGUCCAAUUAGCUAGUUGGUGAGGUAACGGCUAACCAAGGCUACGAUUGGUAGGGGUUCUGAGACGAUGAUCCCCCACACUGGUACUGAGACCCGGACCAGGCUCCUACGGGAGGCAGCGGUGAGGAAUAUUGCGCAAUGGACGAAAGUCUGACGCAGCCAUGCCGCGUGCAGGAUGACGGCCCUAUGGGUUGUAAACUGCUUUUGUACGGGAAUAAACCCUUCUACGUGUAGGAGGCUGAAGGUACCGUAAGAAUAAGCACCGGCUAACUCCGUGCCAGCCGCCGCGGUAA